CUCUUUGCUUGAUGUUUACUGGCAGAGAGUGUUUUGGAGUUGUUGUGGGAAAAGAAGGAGGAGUAUUAAGGGGUAUUUCGUGACCUUACACACUCUUAUAGCUGGUUGAGGUUUUGGAAAGCUGAAUUGGGAGAAGCCACAAGACAGCUAGAGAAGGGGUUUAACUUCUGGAAUUUUCUACUAUAAUUUCCUAGAAAGCUGAAUCGAACUUGGAGAAGCUGUAGGUUAUCCACUUAGAGCUGAUUUGAAGGGUGGUUAUGAGCUGAAUUAAGGUGUGUAACCAGAGUCGAGGUGGAGGAUUAACACUGCGCUAAA